CGUAUCACUUUGAACUGCUGAUUUAGAUUGCUUACUCAUGGGCAUGUGACUGGGAGCCAGGUGCAGAACACGAGAAUCACCUGUAAGUCCGUGGUGUCCAUUGUGGUUUCAUUAAGUUCUCUUUACAAUUAAUUAAACCAGUAAUAAUGUAAUAAUUUGCUGUGAGGGAGGAAAAAAUAGCCUUCUGCAUGCUUGGAAAGCGCGCUCUUCUAACGAGCAUCCUGAGACUUUGAUUUGGAAGGGGUGGGGGGAGGGGCAGCUUCUUACUAUGUAGCCUGGGCUAGGCUCGACCUUGGUUUUCUUGCCUCAGCUUCCCAAGUACUGGGAUUACAGCUAUGUGCCAAUUGCUGCACCCUCUAGCAUCAUUUUUCAAAACUACAAAGUUUUUGUUGUUCGUUUUAGACAG
rnacentral:lncRNA from 1 species